rnacentral:rRNA from 1 species
UGCGUAGGCGGGCUAAUAAGUCAGUGGUGAAAUCUCUCGGCUCAACCGGGAAACUGCCAUUGAUACUGUUAGUCUUGAGUUCGGUUGAGGUAGGCGGAAUGUGUAAUGUAGCGGUGAAAUGCUUAGAUAUUACACAGAACACCAAUUGCGUAGGCAGCUUACUAGACCGACACUGACGCUGAGGCACGAAAGCGUGGGGAGCGAACAGGAUUAGUACCCUGGUAGUC